GAGCCUUGCAGCGCCGGUCCGAGAGGCCUUGGCUGAAGGGAGAGGCUGCUGAGGGCACGGGAGCACGGAGAGCAGCCAAAGCUCAGGCCACGCCCCUUCCGGCUCAGGCCAGCGCCCACUUCGACGCAAGCCAGCCGCUUCCGGUUCAAGCCACGCCACCGGUCGCCGCUGGCCACGCCCACAGCUGAGCCUGAGGGCAGCCUGGACCUGUUGUGUGCUCUGAGGUCUCGGGGUCACCGCCCCGAGUGCUGUGGGGACGUGAAGGUGACGGCAGACACCUGUAGGGGACCCCUAACGAAAAUGGGGGGCAGGAUCAAGACCUGGAGGAGGAGGUGGUUCCUCCUCGACCCUACAAGGAAGAUGCU